rnacentral:rRNA from 1 species
AUUGAACGCUGGCGGCAGGCCUAAUACAUGCAAGUCGAACGAGAUUGUUGUAGCAAUAUGACAUGAAAGUGGCGCACGGGUGCGUAACACGUAUGCAAUCUACCUCUAAUUGGAGAAUAGCCUCGAGAAAUCGGGAUUAAUACUCCAUAACAUUAUUGAAUGGCAUCAUUUGAUAAUCAAACUUCUGGGGAUUAGAGAUGAGCAUGCGCAACAUUAGCUAGUUGGUAAGGUAACGGCUUACCAAGGCUACGAUGUUUAGGGGGUCUGAGAGGAUGAUCCCCCACACUGGUACUGAGACACGGACCAGACUCCUACGGGAGGCAGCAGUAGGGAAUAUUGGGCAAUGGAGGAAACUCUGACCCAGCCAUGCCGCGUGCAGGAUGACGGCCCUCUGGGUUGUAAACUGCUUUUAUACGGGAAGAAAAAAUACUACGUGUAGUAUACUGACGGUACCGUAAGAAUAAGGAUCGGCUAACUCCGUGCCAGCAGCCGCGGUAAAAC